GACGAACGCUGGCGGCGUGCUUAACACAUGCAAGUCGAACGGGUCUGCCCUGUUUUUUGCGGGGUGGGUCAGUGGCGAACGGGUGAGUAACACGUGAGUAACCUGCCCCUCACUUCUGGAUAACCGCUUGAAAGGGUGGCUAAUACGGGGUGUUCUGGCUGUGCCGCAUGGUGUGGCUGGGAAAGAUUCACUUUUGUGGUGUUUUGGUGGGGGAUGGGCUCGCGGCCUAUCAGCUUGGUGGGGGGGUGAUGGCCUGCCAAGGCUUUGACGGGUAGCCGGCAGAGGGGGGUGGGCGGGACAGGUGGGGAGGGGGGGCGGCGCAGACUACGGCGGGAGGCAGCAGGGGGGGGUAUCGCACAAUGGGCGGAAGGAUGAUGCAGCGACGUCGCGUGAGGGAUGGAGGCCUUCGGGUUGUGAACCUCUUUCGCCGGUGAAGAAGGUCCUGCUCUUUGUGGUGGGGUUGACGGUAGCCGGGUUAUGAAGCGCCGGCUAACUACGUG
rnacentral:rRNA from 1 species